UACGUAGGGUGCGAGCGUUAAUCGGAAUUACUGGCGUAAAGCGUGCGCAGGCGGUUUUGUAAGCCAGAUGUGAAAUCCCCGGGCUCAACCUGGGAAUGGCAUUUGGGACUGCAAGGCUGGAGUGCGGCAGAGGAGACUGGAAUUCCUGGUGUAGCAGUGAAAUGCGUAGAUAUCAGGAGGAAUACCGAUGGCGAAGGCAGGUCUCUGGGCUGACACUGACGCUCAUGCACGAAAGCGUGGGAGCGAA
rnacentral:rRNA from 1 species